UUGAGUGACACCCGUGUUUGCCGAUGAUGUGAGGAACAAGGUCUUGAAUGACAUUGAUCUGGAUUGUGGUCAUCGGGUUGAUGCUUGGAUAAUGCACCCCAUCCAUAGAGUUAAUACUAGGUCCCCUAACAACUUGUCCCAUGUUGGUUCGCAGUUGAGCUUCGGGUAUUAUAGCAGGCUGCACUUCAAACACGAGAGGCUCCAUGUAUGUGUACAGAUCUGCAGGUAGUGUAACCAGUGUUUUAAAUAUCGACCGACAUGUCGGUCGAUAUUGCGGUUUGAGUGGGCAAGCGACACGAAUCGGGAUAAAUAAAGUCGGAUGGCGUUUUUCGGCUAAAAAUCGGAUAUAUCGGCUAAAAAUCGGAUAUUUCGGCCGAUAUUUCACUUUGCAAAAAUCGGCCGAUUUUUAUGAUUAUCGGUUCAUGAUAUUAGGUUUGGUUUGAUUCAUUGGGCUCAGUUCGAACCCGAUAAUAGACCCGAUCAAAUACAAAAAGGAGAAAACCCUAGGGCUCAGUUCGAAACUUCGAACCCAGCAGCCUUCUCUUGUCUUCGUCGUCGUUGAAAAAACCCUAGGGUUCUCUCGUCUUCGUCGUUGAAAACCGAGCGAAGUCAAGCCACCUUCUCGUCUUCGUCUUCGUCGUUGAAAAACGAACCCAGCACCAUCGAAGCAGCAUGAAGCUUUCUCGUCUUCGUCGACUUUGAGCCGCCUUGACUUCGUCCUUGAAGCCUUCUCGUCUUCGUCCUUGAAAGCCGCAUUUUCGAAGAACCUUCUCGUCUUCGUCGUUGAAAUCUGAAGCCGAAGCCAUCGAACCUUCUCGUCUUCGUCAUCGCUAGCUUCAAACGUCACAGACUUUAAUAAAAGGGAUUAUUUCCUGCUGUUGACUGUUAAGUUGCUGACUGCUAAGUAAAAGGAAUUAUUGAUUUUUUUCUCAAAAUCAGCUUCAGUUUGUGCCGAAUCUGCUGGUGACUGCUAAAAACUUCAUC